CCUGAUUUAUCUUAUAGAGUUACCGCGUUACGAGUACUAUCAGAUUUAUGGUUAGACCAGUCAAUUCCGUUGCUGUUUAAAGGUAGCAUUCUACCAAAAAAGUUUGAAAAUCAGCCUAUUUUGCUGGUUUCAUUGAGCAAUCUGUCCAGCCAACAGCUCGGAAUUGUGUCCUUAAUUUGUGGAACCACCAAGGAAUUUCAAAACACUUAUCGAGGAAUUCUUCGGUAGUGACCAAAUACUUGUUGUUAUGUUUGCCAACCAGGAAGUAAAUCAAGGAACAAACUAAUCAAACAAAACUUGAGAAAUUCUAGAAUCUGGACGAAGUAAUAUAUUGUAUAAAAGGAUCAAAGUUCGUGAUGACUUCGUUUGGUUUCCUGAAUCUGUUUGGCCUCAUUUGCCUGAUAUUUCCAUGUCAAGGAGUUAUCUAUCCCCCAACCAGUGGAAACAGCUUGACAUUCCCACCAGGAUCAACUGGAAAAAUAGAGUGGUCAUUUGACGACAACAUAUCUGAUGUGUUUUCACGA